rnacentral:rRNA from 1 species
GGAAUCUUAGACAAUGGGGGAAACCCUGAUCUAGCCAUGCCGCGUGAGCGAUGAAGGCCUUAGGGUUGUAAAGCUCUUUCGCUGGGGAAGAUAAUGACGGUACCCAGUAAAGAAGCCCCGGCUAACUCCGUGCCAGCAGCCGCGGUAAUACGGAGGGGGCUAGCGUUGUUCGGAAUUACUGGGCGUAAAGCGCGCGUAGGCGGAUUGUUUAGUGAGGGGUGAAAUCCCAGGGCUCAACCCUGGAACUGCCUCUCAUACUGGCAAUCUCGAGUCCGGAAGAGGUGAGUGGAAUUCCGAGUGUAGAGGUGAAAUUCGUAGAUAUUCGGAGGAACACCAGUGGCGAAGGCGGCUCACUGGUCCGGUACUGACGCUGAGGUGCGAAAGCGUGGGGAGCA